UUAGUAUAUUUUUCUUCAUACCUUCAUCCUUUCCUGGAAUUGGAUUGAAAACUGUUGGAAUUCUCCAUUGUCUUCCAACCACCAUUUAUUUAUCUUUUAAUCUUUUGCUAACUUCUUUCUUUUCUCUAAGAGACUCUCUCCUUUUCACUCCUUUUCAUUCCUCCGUUAGUUUUAUCCCUUUUUACUAUGCAGCUGUGGCCAGAUUUUGCUUUGAAAAUUGACACAUUAUGAUCAAUUGACAAUGAGAGAGAGCACGCCGGUUCCCAUUCAUGCAAAUAUGUGGAUGUAUACAGGCGUGCUCUCUAUUAUUGUCAUAUGAUCUGUAUAAAGCUAUCUUUUCUUAAUAUCUCUCUUUUGCGGCAAUAGCUACAAGGCAGUAUACAUAUUGAGGCUUAAAUGCUGUGUGUUGUACAAGUGUUUCCUUGUUGGUCGUCGCCUGAUUUCCCCAAUUUCCACUAACGUGAAAGAGAAGUUUGCCUAGGAUUGGCAGCUGAGUAGAUUGACGGGGAAUUUUCAAUUACAUGACUGCUGAUCAGCACUAUUUUGCUGUAAAGAAUCAAAAUAAGAAUCGUGACUCUAUUUUGAUAAUGUAAUCUCAAUGAUAUGAUUGCAAUCUUUAUGAUAGUCUAGUGAUGAUCUUUAUUAUUUUUAUGCUAAAUGGCCUAUGCUAGGUGUUUUUUUUUUUUCAAAUUCUAAUAUAUUGUAAUUGCAGUGUGUGAUUUACAUAUUCUUUCUUCUGAUCAAUGGAGUAGAAUUAUGAUGCCGUUGAGGGAUAUACAACAAUCAUUGCCAGCAGAUUUUCAUAUGUUGAUUUCACAUUGCCAUACACUGACUUAUGCAUUGGAAUGGUAGCGCCAAAAGCCAGCAAAAACAAAAUGUGGAUUUCCUGAAGCCUCUUUCUGGAAAUCUGUGGAUAACAACUGCUGCUUUUCUUUAUUUUUACUGGCUUUAUGGUUUGGCUUAUUGAACGACCCAUCAACGAUGAACUCCAAGGCUCACCAUCGAAGCAAGUUGGAAUGAUCUUUUGGUAUUCCUUCUCAACGCUUGUAUUUGCCCAUUUAAGUACUUUAUAUUCAACCCAAAGCAUACACUAAUUACAAUCAAACCUGUCCUGAGCUAAGCUAAAUGUAAUUUUCUUACUAUAAUUUGAAAGUGCUUAAGAGAAGCUCUUGAGCAACUUGUCAAAGUUUGUAGUGAUAAUAUGGGUGUUUGUUGUGCAUAUAUUAACCUCAAGCUACACAGCAACUUUGGCUUCCGUGUUAACAGUUCAACAGAUUCAAUUGAUCUCGAGAGGAUUAUGUGGGUUAUCAUUCUGGUUUUUUGUUGCCAAGGGCAAUUAGCAACUUAAAUUAUGAAAAUCCCAGAUAAUAAUAUAAGAUGUUGAAUUGUCAGAUAAUGAAUAAAUUAUCAUUAAUUGUUU